AAGAAAUUAGUUUAAAAAUUUUAAAACAAUUGAAUGUCAAUCUUUAAAUAUUAUAAAUAAUAUUUCUUA
rnacentral:tRNA from 1 species